rnacentral:rRNA from 1 species
GUCUACAGCCAUGCCACCCUGAACAAGCCCAAUCCCAUCUGAUCUCGGAAGCUAAGCAGGGUUGGGCCUGGUUAGUACUUGGAUGGGAGACCACCUAGGAAGACCAGGGGCUGUAGGUG